rnacentral:lncRNA from 1 species
CCAAGCUCCCACUUCUCAAUUCCAUGACCGUCUAAUCUAAAGCCUGCACUGCUUGACAUUCACUUUCAGUUUUGCAUAUUGAUUUGUAACACCAAACGGGGAAAGGCUCCAUUUUCUGGGGACCAGCUUUGUUGGUAACAAAGAUACUGAAUCAUAGAGAGGAAUCAUUUUUGCAAGAUCACAGCUGAUGGAAUUUCCCUCUCCUUGCCCAGGCUGGAGUGCAGUGGCGUGAUCUCGGCUCACCACAACCCCCGCCUCCUGAGUUCAAGUGGUUCUCCUUCCUCAGCCUCCCGAGUAGCUGGGACUACAGGCGCGUGCCACCACGCCUGGCUAAUUUUUUGUAUUUUUGGUAGAGACGGGGUUUCACCAGGUUGGCCAGUCUGGUCUCAAACUCCUGACCUGAGGUGAUCUAUCUGCCUCGGCCUCCCAAAGUGCUGGGAUUAUAGGUGUGAGUCCCCGUGCCCAGCCUUGACCUCCCUAUUUUGAAUUGUACCCCUCCCCGCAGUCUUCCUCCUCUCCCUUUUUCUGCAUUACUGCUCAUUUCCCUCCAGGACAUCAUCUCCUACACCCUGUAAUUUACUUAUUUAUUUUGGCUGUUAGUUAAUAUCUGUCUCCCUCACUGCAAUCUAACACCGUAUUCACUGAAGUCCCCCAACGGAGUGAAGAACGUGCCAUCCCCAAAUAUGCCAAAUUGGCAUAGUGAUUAUUUUGAGCUGUAAAUAUUGGAGAAAUUGUAGUUUUAGAAAGGGCGAGCUGACCUGUCUUUUCCUGUAUGCAGUAAGCCAUAAAGAUUCCUCUCGGAGGUCCCUUCUCUGGAUGAGAAAUUAGCUCUUAUCUUCACAGACUGGGAAGUGAGGCUGCAACAGACCUGAAUAAAUAAACUUUCCAGGCUGGGUGUGGUGGCUCACACCUGUAAUCCCAGCACUUUGGGAGGCUGAGGUGUGUGGAUCAUAUGAGGUCAGGAGUUCGAGACCAGCCUUCAGAGACCAGCUCUGGCCCUCCCGGAUGCCUCUGUCUGCCCCCGCUUCGGCUGCUGCGCUGUGCCAGCAGGUCCCGCAGGGCUUCACAUUCCUCACUCAGGUCUUCCAUUCAAGAAAUGUUCAUUGACUGAUACUGAGCAGGCCACUGGGGUGAGUGGUCAAUAAGACCCAGCCGCCACACUGAAGUAAAGUUGGUGGGGAGACAGACCACAGUCACGCACCAUACAGGCCAUGAUGGGCAAAUGUCAAGGGUGUACGGGGCAGGGGCAUCACAGCUACGGCACCCAACCCAACCUGCAAGGUAUAGGAAGGAUUCCUGGAAAAAGGAACCACUAAGCUAAGACCACAGGGCAAGUGAAGCUCAGCCAGGCAAAGGGAAGACGUGGGCCCAAGCUGACUAGAAAGGCCCAGAGGCCAUCAUAAGACACUGGGAAGGGGAGGGGCCGGAGCAGUGCACAGGGG